CUGUCUCCAGCAACUGCCAAGGCUAAAGGAAUCGUUCCUCAGCAACUGGUAUAUAUUUAUACGCAAACACACAUGCUAGAAAGAUUCCUUGCCCAAGAUGAUGAAAGAACUCUAAACACAAAACCUAGAAGGGCAUUGGAUGUCGCAGACGAUGGAUUAGUUUCAAUUAUGGUGUACAAGGGAGAUAUAACACCUAAAUCUGAUAUCAAGCGGUGCUAAAAGAAACAGGUCUCUGAAGGGAUACGAGCAUGGAUGAAGAAACGAGUCAGACUCCAAUGAAGGGAUGUUGCAGUGUUCGCAAAUACAAUCAACUAAUUUG